GAGRAUGUAUAGCAUAGCUAGUUGCAUCAUAGUAAAUAUGAUGCAAGAUUGACUAUGUUGAAUAAAAUUCUAGGUAUGAUUAUGAUAAUGACAUUGUCUGCCUAUAUGUCUUGACCAAAUUACGUGCCAGCAGUCGCGGUAAUACGUAGAAGACUAGUGUUAUUCAUGUUUAAUCGGUUUAAAGGGUACCUAGACGGCAGAUCAAGCUUUCCGAGCAGAAAAAAGUAAAAAGGACUAAUUUGCUAGAGUUACUUACGGUGGGGUUUUAAAGUACUGCUGGUGUAGAGAUGAAAUCCUAUUAUACCUAAGUUCGAGAGAAUAAUAAUGGCACAGGUAUAGGCGAAGGCAUCCCCUUAUGUGAUAACUGACGUUGAGGGACGAAGGCUUUUAACAGCGAACGGGAUUAGAUACCCCAUUAGUGGAAGCAGUAAAUGAUGAAUGUCAUAGAUUAGUAGAUAGGUUCAUUCUAUAAAUGAAAGUGUAAGCAUUCCACCUCAUGAGUAAUAUGGCAACAUUGGAAUUGAAAUCAUUAGACCGUUUCUGAAACCAGUAGUGAAGUAUGUUGUUUAAUUUGAUGAUCCGCAAAAAACCUUACCACAAUUUGAAUAUAUAUAUUUUUUUUUUUCGCUAUUAAUUUUCUUCUAAAGAGAAAAUAUAUUAAUAAAGAGGCAAUAAGAUAUAUUUACAAGCGCUGCACGGUUGUCUUCAGUUAAUGUCGCGAGAUUUUGGUUAGAUCCAUUAAAUUAACGUAAACCCUUACUUUAUUUUU
rnacentral:rRNA from 1 species